GCCCUGCAGCAAGGAAACAAAAUGAUUUCUUUCCCCUUGUGAGUUUGAUUGCCAAUGCCUCGAUUAUUUGUGCCAUGAACAUGCAUGUCGAUGAGAUGAAGAUGAUUUUUGAAGAACGAGGGUCACCUGCCGUUCACUUCGACAGAGUGAGGGGUGGUCUUGACGGACACGGGCUCAUUCGCGAGCACGCUCUCGAGGUGGUCGACGAGCUCCUUGGCCUGGCAGGAGCCGAAGUCAGGGUCCGCGUCCUCGUAGUUCCAGACGAGGAUCGUCUCCCUGUCCUCGAUGGUUGAUCCGUCCGUCGUCUCCCUGUAGAGGCACAUCACCGGCUCUGCGAUCUGCUUCCAGCUGCAAUCGGCAACAGCGAUGCAGAUGGUGGUUCGUUGGCCCUGGCGGAUGCGUUGCCGCCGUGUUCGUGUUGCUUGGUGGAUGCUUUGCCACCUGUGGUUACUUCGAGCUUGGCGGAUGCUUUGCCGCCGUUUCUACUCUGGCGGAUACUUUGCCGCCGUGGUUGUGCUUUUCGGUGGAUGCUUUGCCACCGUCUCCUGCUUCGUGGUUGCGACAGUACUUUGUGCAGGUCUUGCUCUUCGGGUGGCCAUUGUUCGGGCGUCUUGCUUGGAGGGUCCUCCCCUUUCGUGCUUCUUCUGUUGUCCACGGCUGCAGAAGGACCAGAUGUUGACGCACAAGGACCAUAGAGGAAUACGGGAGCAGAACUUCUGACAAUUCAUCCCUUCAGAAAUCAGAAGUUUGGAUACAUUGAACCUGAAAAUUUGCAUUGGAUGUUUAUCAAUGUACCUAAACUGACUUGGGAGGAGUCGGUUAAGAGAGACCUUAAAGAUUGGGAUAUCUCUGAGGAGUUAGCUUUGGAUAGGAGCGUUUGGAGACUAGUUAUCAACGUGCCUGAACCAUGACCUUUGUGUCUUUUGGGUUUCAUCUCUAACCUACCCCAAUUCGCUUGGGACAAAAGGCUAUGUUGUUGUUGUUGUUUAUCAAUGUACCUGAAAAAUCAUGUGAGAUUAAGUGCAGCAUAAAUAGCCUAGUGCAGGAGUCACACUUUCGUAUGCAACUUUGCUCCAUUGUAUGACCAGAAUGUGAUGUGUCCUUAAUAUAUAUCAGCAUAUCGUGAAA